CACCACUCAAGCCUCGCUUGGUAUUGGGCAACGCGGUCCUUAGUUGGGCGCGCCUUAAAGACCUCGGCGAGGCCUCACCGGCUUUAGGCGUAGUAGAAUUUAUUCGAACGUCUGUCAAAGGAGAGGACUUCUGCCGACUGAAACCUUUAUUUUUCUA
rnacentral:misc_RNA from 1 species